AUGACCCCUGGGGCAUAGGGGUUUCACAGCAAAGGGAAACAGUCACCAUCACACAUCCCUUUCUCCAUCCUGCCACCCCCCCACCCCGCCCCCCAACUCCAGCAGAUAGGAAGCUAAAUUCUAAGAUUUGAAGAGGCGGGGUUUCUUCUCUCUCCUUCAGGCUGCCACCAACUCACAGUCCUGUCUUUAGUUUUUGAAACACAAAGGUAGUUUGUUUACUGCUGUUUCCAUAUGGCUGAGCAACACGGGGUGGGGUGGGGGAGUGGCAAACCCUGAGAUUUCAUUUUACUGUGAUAACAAGUUAUCCUGUGUCAGGAAAGGAGAUGAAAAGCAAAUGUCCCUGAGAUUUCUGAAAAGAAAGCAGACUACUCUGGGCCUCGGAUCCAGGCACUGGUAGACAGAGCUCGCAUCAUCCCCCGAGUUUAGCUGUCACGGCCACCUGUUCAAGCUCCUGUGAGCCAACCUAAGGUAGCCGGCGUUAGCUCUAGGAGACUCUUCAAAGGGACAGAGACAGCUCUGUGGAGAAUGCCUGGUACUAAUGAGCCAUCUCCCACCAGCACCUGGCCUCCUGGUGGGAAGAGAACUUUCCAGCAUCAUCAUGCAGCACAACGGCUGCAAGGCAAGCAUGAGAUGAAAGGGCUCAGGAGGGCAGGGCGGGAGUCUCAGCAUCCCCCACCCUGUCAGAGAGGAGGCUGAAUACUCAGAAACUCAAGGGGCUAAGAGCACUGGGGGGAGCCCAUCAGAAUGCAAAGGGAUGCUGAAGAAAUGCCACUCUCCCAAUGCACUUUGAUGAUGAGCUCAGCUGAGCUUCCCAUGGAUCUACCCACCCCCCACUCCCCACACAGUAGCCCUGAGCAGUUCAGGCCCCAACUGUCCUUUGUAAAUCUCCAUCAAGACCACUCAAGCCACAAUUUUCAGCAAUAAUAAUCAGUAAGCUUGCAGCAAAAGUGUUUCUUUUCACACCAGCUCAAGCAGAAAGCAGAGGGUUUCCAAGAUGUCCUGCUGCUCCUUGUCCUCCUGGGAUGACUUCAAUUCUCUCAGAUCCACAUAGGAAAGGCUGAACCUGCCUGGGACUUUAACAAAUUACACUCAGACUGCACCUGGAGGAAACAGGGAGGGCAAGGUUUCACAGGGAACCAAGGGAGUCCUUCAGGGGAAUUUGGGAUUGUCUAAAGACUCGAGGUGUUGAGGAAGAGCCCCACACACACACAACCCCUGCCCAGUCACCUGGAGGCCAACUAUCCCCCUAAAUGAGGGAGUCUGUUUAUGGGAUGGUCUUCUCUGGAAAAAUAAGAGAGCCCAUUCAGAGAACGAGUCACCUUAAGGUUCCCAGAAAGAAAGAAUAGAAAGGGGAACAAGGGAGUUCCCGUCGUGGCGCAGCAGAAACGAAUCCAACUAGGAACCAUGAGUUUGCAGGUUCAAUGCCUGGCCUCGCUCAGUGGGUUAAGGACACGGCGUUGCCGUGAGCUGUGGUGUAGGUCGCAGAAGCAGCUCAGAUCUGGCACUGCUGUGGCUGUGGUCACACUCUCUCUCUCUUUUUAUGGCUGCACCCACAGCAUAUGGAAGUUCUUGGGCCAGGGAUCAAAUCUGAGCCAGAGCUUCAGCAACCCCAGAUCCUUAACCCACUGCACAGGGCCAGGGAUUGAACCUACAUCUCCACAGAGACAAUGCCAGAUCUUUAACACACUUGCCACAGCGGGAACUCUUCAACACACUCUCUUGACUCACUUCCCUUCCCUGUCUUACCCGUGACCCCCGCCCCAUGCUUCCUGAGACACCCCCUAAAUUAACCAUUUGCACUCAAAUUCUAUCUCGGGCUCUGCUUCUGAGAGCCCAAUCUAAGACAAUUGUUAUCACUGAGCAAAAGAGAGACAGACAAAGGAGGAAGAAGCAGUGGCCAGACACAGAGGCGUGUAGAUGAGGCAGCCACCCCCUAGGGCAGACCUCGUGGCUCUCAGGCUCCAGAACAGCAUCUUCUUACCUGUUGGUCCUAAGAAGAGCCUGCUCAGAAGAAGCCACUAGAAGAAACUGUUCUCCCCUGAGCCACCCCCAACCCUGGAGGGGCAGGACCAUCAUUUCUUGACUCUCCAAGUAGAAUCCCACUAAGCUACUGAAGGCUUCUUUGGGGUAGGCAGCAAGCCCCAGGGUGUUUUCCAGAAGGUUCUAUAACUGGCUUAGGACCCUGGAAGUUUGAAGAAUGCCCAGCUGUGUGGUUCAGCCUUCUCUUCUGGGUCACUGAAGCAGUUGGGGGACUGUGGAGAUCUUCAGGGUGCCGGGCAACCCCCAAAAGACUGGUUUUUAAAGUAUCAGCAUAGGUGUUCCCAUUGUGGCUCAGUGGUAACGAACCCUACUAGUAUCCUUGAGGAUGCAGGUUCAAUUCCUGGCCUCGCUCAGUGGGUUAAGGAUCCAGCGUUGCUGUGAGCUGUGGUGUAGGUCUCAGAUGAGGUUUGGAUCUGGCAUUGCUGUGGCUGUGGUAUAGGCUGGCAGCGGUAGCUCCGAUUUGACCCCUGGCCUGGGAACUUCCAUAUGCCGUGAGUAUGGCCCUAAAAAGACAAAAAAUAAAUAAAUCAAUAAAGUAUCAGUGUAAUCUCUCCCGGUGGGCAGAGGGAAUGGGUGAGAUCCACAGCAAACCACUUCUGCAUUCUGGCUCGUUCCCACAAGAAAUGUAAAGGAAACCAAAAGUCAGCGCCAGGGAGGGGCAAUGCCCCACGCAAAUGAAAGGAAGAUACAGAGCUUAGAGCAGAUUCUCCGCUGAAGGCCAGUGACUGGAAACGGGCAGAAAUUUGUAGAGCAAACGUUAACACAAGAUAGAAAAUAAGAGAGAAGUGAGAGGAAAAGAAUAUCAUAAUGAUGAAAGAGCUACUAACUGAGGCCUGCCCACACCCCGUGAGCCAGUGCUCUGGCUGACAGCCACUGCCAAUGUCACCUCUUUGCUGGAGGCUCUCUCAAAGCAGCAGCAGAUCAGCAGCCCUUCGAGGAAUCAACACCCCCAGCUCUCAACCAACCACUGACAAGCUAGAGUAUAAAUACCCCAGCUCCCUUGCCCCUCAGAUGGGAUAAUCCUCUACUACCUCCUACGAAUCCUGCAGGAUGGAGCUGCAGCUGCUCAUGGUGGGAGCUGGCUUCAUAGCACCCCUUUGUUGGCUGCCUGCCCUCCCUUGUCUCACUUCCCCCAACUCCUUACUGCGUGUCUCAGGUUUGCUUCCAGAGAAUCCCAAACCAAAGCAAUUAGGCAAUUGCUGACUGCCAGGUACCAAGCUAGAGGCUUUAUACAUAUCAUGCAGCUCUGGUACAGCUUCUAUCAAGAAAGGAAAACAUCCAAUACUGCCCAUGCAUAAAGGGAAAGUCCAGGCCCUUGUUUCAAAACAAGCAUCCAAGAUGAUGCAGGGAGAGCAAUCCAGUUCGACGCCAACCCAGGUGAACAGAAUGUGACUGAACAGAUCCUUUUCGGGUCAUGAAAGCUUGACAGAAGAAAAACAAGGUCAGCGGAGGGAGAACCAGCAUAUCAAAUGCUCUCCUGCUGUCAAGGGUUGUGUGUCCUGACUGGGUACAUGCUCCUUGGAGAAAUCAUUUCACCAAAGUAGCUGGGAUCCAGCCUGCCCAGCUUUUGCGAAUCUGUUCCUUGCUCCGGGACUGGCCUGAAUUCACCACAACAGGUAGGAGGAAAGGAAAACAAAAAACAAAUAAACAAACCAGGUCUCUGUGCCUCUUCUAGGAAAGGCAGAGUGAACUCAAGUUAAGUUUGGGAGCUGGAUCAUUAGCAUCUCAUUAAUGACUCUAAUCUCUCACAAGCACAGAGAAGGCACGGAAAAUCAUUGCCUAAGCCACAAGCUGUAAUUGCUGCUGUCCUUCUAAGCAAGGGGGGAAACAGGCCAUGCUUUGUGGCUUCUUCAGAACAAAAGCCCCAUUCCUUAAUGAGAUUUCUUAAUUUAGGGCAGGAGAAAAUUUUUGGGUUAUUAUUAGGCCACAAAUGAAGGCUUGUUUCAUUUAACUGCCCCACUUAGCAAAAGAAACUUUGCUUUGGUAAUUAAAGAAUUAUUUUUAAGUGUUAGAGGUUGCUGGAUAACCUUGAGUGAAACCUCACAUGUGAUCAGGCUUUGGUGCCCCCAUCUGUAAGUUUAACAAACUGGGGCAAAUGUUCCCCAAGGCUUUGUCCAGCUCAAACAGUCUAUGGUUUUGUUCAUUCCCUUCAUAGAGUUCUCUUCAAAAUCCACAUCUUAAUCCUGUCUGUUCUCUCUAACCCUCAAGGUCUUUGGAUACUAUUGGGGACCACGGUACCUCCUGCUUGCAAAGUAUCUCCAACCUGGUUCCCCAGAGGAUCCCAUCUUUGCACUAAGACAGCAACAUCUCCCCUCUGCCACCGUGGGAAAAAAAGAUAAUCAUCUUUCAGCCCCAUAUGUGGAGUCAUCAUGAGGUCUUCUCCUGGCUGAGUUAACCACACAAAUCAUCACCCCAGGAGGAAGUUCAUGGGCACUAGAGAGGGGCAGCCCUGCAUUAGGAAGGCUUUAAAACCCAUACUCAUAAAAUGUGGUAGGAAAAUUCAUCUUUGAGGUUUACGACCAACAAAAUCUGCGAUGUCUCUUUUAUGGGUACUUUUAAUGUUCUCUGCAGAGCAGUGAGCGGCUGACCCUGGAGGAAGUGCCGAUUAUCUUCCUGAGUGGAAACAAGAGAUGGUAACUGUGUGUCCCCAGUCGGUGACCCUGCCCAGGCUGGUAAACCAAACUCCAGGCUCCAAAGGGUAGCUCGUCCUGGAGGCUUCUCAAGACUCCUGGCUUCACACAAAAUGAGAAAAAUUCAGUUCCACCACUUAGAGUUUGGGGACUUUCCCUGGGACAAUUGUCCUGGAAGGGGUGCUAGUGACCCCAUUCCAACUGGCUACCCCCAUGUGUUCUCUGUCGGCAGUCACCAUGGAGACAACAUAGGAUGCCCUUUGAGGGCUCUUGUACGGCGUUUAUUCUCCUGGCUACUGGCUCUUGACCCUAAUCAACCCACCCUUCCCAACAAUAACCUAAGCACCUCAAGGAGCCUGGAUCAUGCCUUGGGGAGUCUCAUGAGAGGUCCCUAUGUGCCCUGGGCCAGCCCUUCCUUUGGCCUCUCUGCUUCUGCCCAGCAGCCUGGCCCUCCCCAGCUUGAGCCUCCUCGGAGAGCUGGUCUCUUUCUGCUGAUCCCUAAUUGCCCUGUGCAGAUACUAUCUCUUCCUGUAAGGAUUGUUUCUGCACAGUAAACAGAAACCUCCUGGCGGAGAUCCAAAAACCAAUCAUCCUGAAAACUUAUCACUGGCUCCUUGGAAGUAAAAGGUCCCGUGUCCUGCCCCAGCCUGUCUCCUCCCAAGCUUCCUGACUUCUCGGUGAACUUGCUGCACUCUCUUUCAAAAUACUUCUCGCUCUGUUCAAACUGCAAAGGGCAAAAAGACUUAAUGAAGUUCAAGAUGACCCACUUCCUCCAAGCAUCACUCCAUGUUUUCAGUAGUGAUAACACUUUGUCUCCCUGUGAAGCCCGCCCGCUCAUAUUCCCAGAGUCAGCAGACCCUUCCUGCUCCAGGGAGGAAUCUUUUGCCGUGGAAGCUAAGCUGGGCUGAUGGAAGCCCCAGGUGUCAUUGGUCUGUUUCUAACUGAGCCUUUAGGAUGGGAACCCUGGCCCAUGUGUCAUCAAAGGGCUCCCAGGAUCCUAGGGAGGUGCUGGUGACACUGGGCUCUGCCAACUGAGACUCAGAACCCAACUGAGACUCAGAAACCAGCUCAGUGACCUCUAGUGACACUAUUGGACCCCAGAACUGAGAAGGACCCUAGAAACCACUUAGUGCAGGGGUCAGGGUCGGCUCCUCUUUGCUAAAGAUGCCUCACAUGGGGACAGGAUUUGGGAAGAAGCAAAAAUAGGAAAGGAGUUGGAAGGCAGGCUCUCUGAGGCCACAUCAACCUAAGCACCUCCCUGGUUAACUGCUGUAUGCAUUUUAGGCAUUCUAUAUACAGGGCUACCAUUUCUGAGCAUUUACUGCAUGCCGGGAACUCUGCUAAGAGCUCAUUAUGCCUUAUCUCAUAAUGCCAUUUAUUCCUACAACCAACCUACGUGGAAGGAAUUAUUAUGAACCCUAUCUGUCAGGUGAAGACAUUGAGGCUCAGAGCAGCUGUGACUCACCAACAUCACAGAGCCUGUACAGAAGGGCACCGGGAAUCUCAAG
rnacentral:lncRNA from 1 species